rnacentral:miRNA from 1 species
GCAGACACAUUCCAGCCAAUCAGCGGCAGACCCUCCCUCCCAGACCCUCCCACCUCCUGGACAGCAUCCAUUUUACAUUCAUUGUGAAGCUGCAUUCUUAGUGAGCUGUCUAGGAGGUGGGAGGGUCUGGGAGGGAGGGUCUGCUGCUGAUUGGCUGGAAUGUGUCUG